GAAAUGCGAUAAGUAAUGUGAAUUGCAGAAUUCAGUGAAUCAUCGAAUCUUUGAACGCACAUUGCGCUUCUCGAGGGCGGCUCCGGGACGCGAUCCAGCAAGAUGACCACCGUCUUUGACCUCGGAUCAGGUAGGGAUACCCGCUGAACUUAAGC
rnacentral:misc_RNA from 1 species